UGUGGUAUUUACAUAUGUGUGUGUGUGACUGCUGCACACACUUUAAGAGCUGUAGUGCUGAUCAGAGUGUGUUCAGUCCUUUCAGAGCCACUGACACGCAGCACAAUGAUGAUGGUACUGAUUCUACUGCUGGGGACACUGGGACUCCUCGCUCACCAGUCCUUUGGGGAAAUCGUCCUGACUCAGUCUCCAGGAUCUCAGACUGUUUCUCCAGGAGACACUGUUACUCUCAGCUGUACAACCAGUCAGAGUGUUAGCAGUUACCUCGCCUGGUACCUGCAGAAACCUGGAGAAGCUCCUAAACUCCUGGUCUAUUAUGCAACUUCUCGUCAGUCUGGGAUUCCAGAUCGUUUCAGUGGCAGUGGAUCUGGUACACAGUUUAGUCUAAAAAUCUCUGGAGUUCAGUCUGAAGAUGCAGGAGAUUAUUACUGUCAGCAGGGUUACAGCGGGUACACACAGUGUUAUAGCACCGUACAAAAACCUCCCUCAGCUGUAGAGGAAGUGCUCUGAGUCAGAAACACACACUGAUCUGAGAACAGCUGCAGAGCUGCUAAAGCUGCACUCCACUGAACAUCAUCAAACAUCUUCAGCUUUAAUAAAUAAUCAUUCCAGUCCAAUAAUCAAUAAAACACUCCACCCUGCAGAUACACACUCCAUCACUGGAGAUAAACAUGAGAAGAUGUGGAACAGUGUUAGAUUUGUAUAAUGUCCAAUCAAAACUUAUUUCUAAGCACACAGAAUGGCACAAAUGUUCUUCAGUUUAAUGAAGAUAACAGACAAGUAUAUACACACUGCAAAAAA